UCGUGCAUUUGUACUGAGAUCAUCAAGUCUUUAGUCUCUCAUGAACUCUUGACUCUUUCGUUUUCUUCGAGAAAACUUUCUUUUUCAAUUAAGUAUUUUGCAAUAAUUAAUUUAAAAAAUGAAUGUAAAGUUUCAAUUCUGUGUUGUAAUAAUCGUUGUUUUUCUAAUUAUAUCAUGUGUUGAAUGUUGGAGCAUUGGAAGUGGAGCUGGUGGAAGAUAUUGGUGGACGAGACUUUUGAAGAGGAGGAAACAAAAUCACAAUAAAAGCUAUGGUAGAAAAAGUAUAUGGUAAUGCAGAAGGACCAUCAUCAUCCAUUCAUCAGGACUUUUUUUUCCAUUUGAAGAUCAGUAAUAUUUCUGGAUAUCCCCUCUACUUCGGCUUGACUUGCCAUCAAAGCCAAAAUCAUUCAAGAAAGGAAUCUUUUUUGCAUUCUUUUAAUCACUAAUUCAAAAACAUUUUUUAUUUUAUACAAUAAUUUAAAAAUGAAAUAUUACAAUAUUUAAUGGGACGAUGGACUUGUUCAACUUAAAUUAUGUCAUUUAUGAGUUGACGUCACGCGGAAUCUUCGUGAACGGAUCAGAGUCCAGUCCUUUCCUAGUUUUUGAAAUAAUCAUUCAAGCAUCUUGAAUAAUUUAAUACAUGUUAAUUAUAUAUAAUAAGUAUACAUUUACACAUACCUAUACAUGUAUAUAUGUAUAUAUUAGAGUGGCCAAAAAAAACCGACUAUUUAUUUUUUCGAGUUUCAUGUGAAAAUGUGUUGGUUAAACAUGUUUCAAGAAGUCUCACCAAAAAUCAGCUCGAUAAAAAUUUUUAAGAAGCCGCUCAUAAAUUUUGAAAAUUCUGAAAAUGAAUGAAAUUCGGAUUUUUUAAAGUUUUUUCUUUCUCGUGGCAGAAGUAUUUUCUACCUGUAAAAUCGAUCCUACGAUGAAAAUUUUUGCUCCAAAUAUGGAUUUUCCAACGGCGCUCAAGAGUUUUGAAUAUUAACUCAUAAUAUGUAUCUAAAUCUUUGCAUUAAUUUUUGUAUUUAUUUAUAACCCAAUGAUAGUUAUUUCACUCAAAUAUAGCAUUUGCUUAAUGGACAAUAUACUGGAAAGUCUUAGACAGUAAUAUUGAAUAAAACUUGAAUAACCAACAAAAACCUAAAAAUUGAAUUAAGAAAUAAAAAUUAUGUGAAUAACAUAUUUUUUUUAGGUAUCUCAUUAUCCUUUUAUUCAUUGCAAUACAAAUUGAUGGUGGAAGAAUCGAGAAGUUUCAUUAUUCAUCUUCGUCGUUCGAAAACGUCCAAAAGACAGAACUCAGAAACAUUCAAAAUUAUUGAGUGACGUUUAAAUAUUUACAUUUCGGGCUGAAAUUUUCAGCAGUUAUGAUUUUAUAAAUAGAAACUAUUGCUGCCACAAGAAAAAAGAAAUUUGAAAAAAUCUGAAAAACAGUUGACCCUGUGGACCAACCCCCUAAACUUCCCGCUAUUUUCAAGCUCUCCAAACUUAAUAAAAAAUUUUUUCCAACAUUUAAAAAUUUUUUGCAUCAAUACGUCGAAAUCUGAUGCAAACUUUGUUUACAAAAAUCGGACCAAAACAAAUAUUUUCCAUUUUUUUGAAAACUUUCAAUUUUCAUAGCGGAAGUUACAAAAAAUCCGACUUCAAUCAUUUUUGAAAUUUUUAAAAUUCGUGAGCGACCUCUUACAAAUUUUUUAUCUAGCCGAUUUUUGGAGAGGCUUCUUAAGAUAUCUUAAUCCAACAAAUUUUCAUGAGUUGCGAAAAUAAAAAAAAGUCGGAUUUUUGUUGUGUCAACCUAUAUAUAUAUAUAUAUAUAUAUAUAUAUAUUCAUUCGAAAAUAUUGCGUAAUUUCAUUUCGUUUAUUCUCAAUUAAAAAAAUAUAACAGAAAUUCUUACAUUGUCAAAAAAAAGACCUAUUCAAAAUAAAAUAUAUCAUAAAACAAUAAUAUUGUAUACAUUGAAAACAUUAAGUUCCAAAAUAUCGUGAACUAUAUAUUUAAAAAUGUAUAAAAUCCUUCAUAUACAUAUUAAAACAUAUAGAUACAGCAAGUUGUUGAUUAUAUGAGCUGUGAUGAAUGGAAAUAUAAAUCAAAUCAUUUGAAUUAUUUUAUGCAAAUUUGGUAUGUACCAUCUAUACGAGAACAAAUAUAUAAUCUAUAAUGUAAGCAAUAUGUAUAGAAAAGUAUAUGACAUUAUCUAAGAAUAA